rnacentral:rRNA from 1 species
UGGGGAAUAUUGGACAAUGGGCGAAAGCCUGAUCCAGCCAUGCCGCGUGUGUGAAGAAGGUCUUCGGAUUGUAAAGCACUUUAAGUUGGGAGGAAGGGCAUUAACCUAAUACGUUAGUGUUUUAACGUUACCGACAGAAUAAGCACCGGCUAACUCUGUGCCAGCAGCCGCGGUAAUACAGAGGGUGCAAGCGUUAAUCGGAAUUACUGGGCGUAAAGCGCGCGUAGGUGGUUUGUUAAGUUGGAUGUGAAAGCCCCGGGCUCAACCUGGGAACUGCAUCCAAAACUGGCAAGCUAGAGUACGGUAGAGGGUGGUGGAAUUUCCUGUGUAGCGGUGAAAUGCGUAGAUAUAGGAAGGAACACCAGUGGCGAAGGCGACCACCUGGACUGAUACUGACACUGAGGUGCGAAAGCGUGGGGAGCAAACA